AGUGAACGCUGGCGGUAGGCCUAACACAUGCAAGUCGAACGGCAGCACAGUAAGAGCUUGCUCUUACGGGUGGCGAGUGGCGGACGGGUGAGGAAUACAUCGGAAUCUACUUUUUCGUGGGGGAUAACGUAGGGAAACUUACGCUAAUACCGCAUACGACCUACUGGUGAAAGCAGGGGAUCUUCGGACCUUGCGCGUUUGAAUGAGCCGAUGUCGGAUUAGCUAGUUGGCGGGGUAAAGGCCCACCAAGGCGACGAUCCGUAGCUGGUCUGAGAGGAUGAUCAGCCACACUGGAACUGAGACACGGUAGAGACUCCUAGGGGAGGCAGCAGUGGGGAAUAUUGGACAAUGGGGGAAAGCCUGAUCCAGCCAUACCGCGUGGGUGAAGAAGGCCUUCGGGUUGUAAAGCCAUUUUGUUGGGAAAGAAAAGCAGUAGGUUAAUACCCCGCUGUUCUGACGGUACCCAAAGAAUAAGCACCGGCUAACUUCGUG
rnacentral:rRNA from 1 species